GUGGCUAAAUGUCAGCAAGUUCCUCAAUUUCCACAAUUGCCACAAAAGAAGCAUAAGAAUUAUGGCAUUCUCAACCUGCUUGUAUAAGUGAGUUAUUAAUUAUGUUCAUGUGUCCUUAAUGGAAUUACCUUGCAACUCACUGGACCUUAACUAAAAAGAAGAGAGAAUCCAGAAUUCUUUGCUCUAGGGCAUCUGAAGAAAAUAUG
rnacentral:misc_RNA from 1 species